AUACGUAGGGGGCGAGCGUUGUCCGGAAUUACUGGGCGUAAAGGGUGCGCAGGCGGCCGAUUAAGUCAGAUGUGAAAUACCACGGCUCAACUGUGGGGGUGCAUUUGAAACUGGUUGGCUUGAGUGCAGGAGAGGAAAGUGGAAUUCCUAGUGUAGCGGUGAAAUGCGUAGAGAUUAGGAGGAACACCAGUGGCGAAGGCGACUUUCUGGACUGUAACUGACGCUGAGGCACGAAAGCGUGGGUAGCGAACAGGAUUAGAUACCCUGGUAGUCCACGCCGUAAACGAUGGAUACUAGGUGUAGGGGGUAUCGACCCCCCCUGUGCCGGAGUUAACGCAAUAAGUAUCCCGCCUGGGGAGUACGGCCGCAAGGCUAAA
rnacentral:rRNA from 1 species